UUUUCUUACAUCAUUAUAUCUAUUACAUAAUAUACAGACUAUUAGUAUCUGCAUACUGGUAAUAUGCAUCACAUAUAUUUCUGUUUUUUAUGUUUCAAGCAUAUCAUCAAAUACAUUUACAGGAAGUCUUAGCUAUCUUAUGUAUUGUGUAUCUUGUGCGAGAGAUAAUUGAAUGCUUGUGUUUAAGGCAUGUCACUUGGUAAAUAUAAACAAUAUUUAGGAUUUAAAUGCUUCUUUUGAUAGUGGGGUGUAAAAACGUGUCACACGUUCAAUGCUUUCACAAACCUAUCGACUUACUAAAAGAAGCUUCCAAUAUUUAUAAGAAUUAUAGUAUAUUUUGCGCUAGGAUCAUGAAUUCUAUCAAGGUUAUAUUUUAUUUACCUGUGUAAUUUAUUGUCGGAGAUCGUUUCAUCCUGUCAUCAUGAAUUUCUCAUUUCAUUUUGAAAUUUUGAAAUGAAAGUUAAUUCCAGAAUGACGCGAUAAUUAUUAAAUAUUAUAUAAAAAAUAUGAAAGUGCUUUGUCCUC
rnacentral:lncRNA from 1 species